GAUGAACGCUGGCGGCGUGCUUAACACAUGCAAGUCGAACGGUGAACGAGGGAGCUUGCUCCCUCCGGAUCAGUGGCGAACGGGUGAGUAACACGUGAGCAAUCUGCCCUGGACUCUGGGAUAAGCGUUGGAAACGACGUCUAAUACCGGAUACGAGGCGUGGGGGCAUCCCCAACGCCUGGAAAGAACUUCGGUCCAGGAUGAGCUCGCGGCCUAUCAGGUAGUUGGUGAGGUAAUGGCUCACCAAGCCUACGACGGGUAGCCGGCCUGAGAGGGUGACCGGCCACACUGGGACUGAGACACGGCCCAGACUCCUACGGGAGGCAGCAGUGGGGAAUAUUGCACAAUGGGCGAAAGCCUGAUGCAGCAACGCCGCGUGAGGGACGACGGCCUUCGGGUUGUAAACCUCUUUUAGCAGGGAAGAAGCGAAAGUGACGGUACCUGCAGAAAAAGCACCGGCUAACUACGUGCCAGCAGCCGCGGUAAGAC
rnacentral:rRNA from 1 species